rnacentral:rRNA from 1 species
CGUUACGUACAGAGAGUUUGACUCCGUGGACUCAGGACGAACGGCUGGCGGCGUUGCUUAACACAUGCAAAGUCGAACGAUGAAGCCUAGCUUGCUAGGUGGAUUAGUGGCGAACGGGUGAGUAAUACGUGAGUAACCUACCUUUAACUCUGGGAUAAGCCUGGGAAACUGGGUCUAAUACCGGAUACGACCAAUCUCCGCAUGGGGUGUUGGUGGAAAGCGUUAUGUAGUGGUUAUAGAUGGGCUCACGGCCUAUCAGCUUGUUGGUGAGGUAACGGCUCACCAAGGCGACGACGGGUAGCCGGCCUGAGAGGGUGACCGGCCACACUGGGACUGAGACACGGCCCAGACUCCUACGGGAGGCAGCAGUGGGGAAUAUUGCACAAUGGGCGCAAGCCUGAUGCAGCGACGCCGCGUGAGGGAUGACGGCCUUCGGGUUGCAAACCUCUGUUAGCAGGGAAGAAGAGAGAUUGACGGUACCUGCAGAGAAAGCGCCGGCUAACUACGUG